rnacentral:rRNA from 1 species
UACGGAGGGGGCAAGCGUUUUUCGGAAUUACUGGGCGUAAAGGGCGUGUAGGCGGAUCUGCCAGUCAGAGGUGAAAGCCCCGGGCUCAACCUGGGAACGGCCUUUGAUACUGCAGAUCUAGAGUCCGGGAGAGGAUCGUGGAAUUCCCAGUGUAGAGGUGAAAUUCGUAGAUAUUGGGAAGAACACCAGUGGCGAAGGCGGCGAUCUGGACCGGUACUGACGCUGAGGCGCGAAAGCGUGGGGAGCAAACAGG